rnacentral:rRNA from 1 species
GACAGAGGGUGCAAACGUUUGUUCGGAAUUACUGGGCGUAAAGCGCGUGUAGGCGGCCCUGCAAGUCGGAUGUGAAAUCCCACGGCUCAACCGUGGAAGUGCAUUCGAAACUGCAGGGCUAGAGUCCUGGAGAGGAAGGUGGAAUGCUUGGUGUAGAGGUGAAAUUCGUAGAUAUCAAGCGGAACACCGGUGGCGAAGGCGGCCUUCUGGACAGUGACUGACGGCUG